GACGAACGCUGGCGGCGUGCUUAACACAUGCAAGUCGAACGGAAAGGCCCUGCUUUUGUGGGGUGCUCGAGUGGCGAACGGGUGAGUAACACGUGAGUAACCUGCCCUUGACUUUGGGAUAACUUCAGGAAACUGGGGCUAAUACCGGAUAGGAGCUCCUGCUCCAUGGUGGGGGUUGGAAAGUUUCGGCGGUUGGGGAUGGACUCGCGGCUUAUCAGCUUCUUGGUGGGGUAGUGGCUUACCAAGGCUUUGACGGGUAGCCGGCCUGAGAGGGUGACCGGCCACAUUGGGACUGAGAUACGGCCCAGACUCCUACGGGAGGCAGCAGUGGGGAAUAUUGCACAAUGGGCGGAAGCCUGAUGCAGCAACGCCGCGUGCGGGAUGACGGCCUUCGGGUUGUAAACCGCUUUCGCCUGUGACGAAGCGUGAGUGACGGUAAUGGGUAAAGAAGCACCGGCUAACUACGUG
rnacentral:rRNA from 1 species